AGUGAACGCUGGCGGUAGGCCUAACACAUGCAAGUCGAACGGCAGCACAGGAGAGCUUGCUCUCGUGGGUGGCGAGUGGCGGACGGGUGAGGAAUACAUCGGAAUCUACCUUUCGUGGGGGAUAACGUAGGGAAACUUACGCUAAUACCGCAUAAGACCUUCGGGUGAAAGCAGGGGACCUUCGGGCCUUGCGCGGAUAGAUGAGCCGAUGUCGGAUUAGCUUGUUGGCGGGUAAAGCCCACCAAGGCGACGAUCCGUAGCUGGUCUGAGAGGAUGAUCAGCCACACUGGAACUGAGACACGGUCCAGACUCCUACGGGAGGCAGCAGUGGGGAAUAUUGGACAAUGGGCGCAAGCCUGAUCCAGCCAUACCGCGUGGGUGAAGAAGGCCUUCGGGUUGUAAAGCCCUUUUGUUGGGAAAGAAAACUUGCGGGCUAAUACCCAGCAAGUCUGACGGUACCCAAAGAAUAAGCACCGGCUAACUUCGUG
rnacentral:rRNA from 1 species